rnacentral:rRNA from 1 species
UGGGGAAUAUUGCACAAUGGGCGAAAGCCUGAUGCAGCGACGCCGCGUGAGGGAUGACGGCCUUCGGGUUGUAAACCUCUUUCAGUAGGGACGAAGCGCAAGUGACGGUACCUGCAGAAGAAGCACCGGCUAACUACGUGCCAGCAGCCGCGGUAAUACGUAGGGUGCGAGAGUUGUCCGGAAUUACUGGGCGUAAAGAGCUCGUAGGCGGUUUGUCACGUCGUCUGUGAAAUCCUAGGGCUUAACCCUGGACGUGCAGGCGAUACGGGCUGACUUGAGUACUACAGGGGAGACUGGAAUUUCUGGUGUAGCGGUGGAAUGCACAGAUAUCAGGAAGAACACCGAUGGCGAAGGCAGGUCUCUGGGUAGUAACUGACGCUGAGGAGCGAAAGCAUGGGUAGCGAACAGG